rnacentral:rRNA from 1 species
CAGUAGCCGCGGUAAUACAGAGGAUGCAAGCGUUAUCCGGAAUGAUUGGGCGUAAAGGGCUCGCAGGCGGUUUCUUAAGUCUGAUGUGAAAGCCCCCGGCUCAACCGGGGAGGGUUAUUGGAAACUGGGAAACUUGAGUGCAGAAGAGGAGAGUGGAAUUCCACGUGUAGCGGUGAAAUGCGUAGAGAUGUGGAGGAACACCAGUGGCGAAGGCGACUCUCUGGUCUGUAACUGACGCUGAGGAGCGAAAGCGCGGGGAGCGAACAGGAUUAGAUACCCCCGUAGUCCCUGUCUCUUAUAC